CACCUCCUGCCCGCCGCGGCCCGUUACCUGCUCGUCGAAGCGGCUGACCACGGCCUGGACCCAUUCCACCGGCCUGUGUGCGGCCAUGUCCUCCCCGCGACCCGGGGGUGGUAGAGGGCCGGCGUCCCGUGCCCGCCGGAGGGCGGGCGGCCGGUGCGGAGGCUCAGAAUGCACAGCAUGGCAGUGCUGUCCAGUCUGCUGCUUCUCCCAAUGAGAGGAAGAGGGAAAAGGACAAGGGAUGCCAUGGAUCCUCAGCCACAGACUGCUGAAGCAGAGCCUUGGCAGUUCCUACUCCCCCGGGGAAAAGACAGACCUCUGCUGAUCAGAUACGCUGUGAGUCCUGCCGACUUGCCCAGUCUGAAGGAAGAAAGGACAGAACAGAACAGAUUCUUUCCUGUGGUUCCCAGAAACAUCAAAACUUUCCCCAAAAGUCUUACAGGUUCUCAAGUGGGAAGCUGAAGGCCAGGCUGCAGAAUAAACCUAGCCUUGUCCUGUCCAAA